CCUACGGGCGGCUGCAGUGAGGAAUAUUGGUCAAUGGCCGGAAGGCUGAACCAGCCAUGCCGCGUGAAGGUCAGUGCCCUAUGGGCGUUAAACUUCUUUUGUGCGGGAGCAAUAAUGGUCACGUGUGGCCAGACGAGAGUACCGUACGAAUAAGCAUCGGCUAAAGCCGUGCCAGCAGCCGCGGUAAUACGGGGGAUUCAAGCGUUAUCCGGAUUUAUUUGGGUUAAAGGGUGCGUAGGAUGGGAGGUAAGUCAGCGGUGAAAUGCCCCCGGUCAACGGGGUGAAGUGCCAUUGAUACUGCCUGGCUGGAAUGCGGAUGCCGUGGGAGGAAUGUGUGGUGGAGCGGUGAAAUGCAUAGAUAUCACACAGAACACCGAUUGCGAAGGCAUCUCACGAAUCCGCGAUUGACGCUGAUGCACGAAAGCGUGGGUAUCAAACAGGAUUAGAUACCCCAGUAGUC
rnacentral:rRNA from 1 species